UAGGUUAACGAGGCGAACCGGGGGAACUGAAACAUCUAAGUACCCCGAGGAAAAGAAAUCAACCGAGAUUCCCCCAGUAGCGGCGAGCGAACGGGGAGCAGCCCAGAGUCUGAAUCAGCUUGUGUGUUAGUGGAACGGUCUGGAAAGUCCGACGGUACAGGGUGAUAGUCCCGUACACCAAAAUGCACAGGCUGUGAACUCGAAGAGUAGGGCGGGACACGUGGUAUCCUGUCUGAAUAUGGGGGGACCAUCCUCCAAGGCUAAAUACUCCUGACUGACCGAUAGUGAACCAGUACCGUGAGGGAAAGGCGAAAAGAACCCCGGCGAGGGGAGUGAAAAAGAACCUGAAACCGUGU
rnacentral:rRNA from 1 species